CCCAGUUGCCAAUAUCUCAGCCUUGAAACAGCCAGCUGGGGGCUGCUCUCUCUCAAUCCCCUUGCACGCUUGCAGGCUGCCUGUGCUUAGAAGCAAUGCUCCCCCUGCAUUUAAAUCCAGCCCCCCCUUUCUUGACCUCCCUUCCACUCUAGUCCCACUAUACUCCUGUGGGAGCUCCCUGUCACCGUGGAUUUUUCUAGACGUAUUUUAUUGAAACCACAGAGGGAAGACGAACCCUCACACCUGGGCUCCACCCCACUGGGGGGUGGUAAAGAAAAAAUCAGACCCCGUUCUGGCUUAGUCCCUGCCGUUUCAGGCCCUAUUUCUUAUAUAUUGUACAAAAGGUGGAGGGGGUGGGGAUCUUUUUUUUCUUUUCAGAACGCAGCAGCCUGUUCUGAAGGCGAAUCGUUGGAGGACUGACAGUAAUGCAUUUUUUCCUAUUGAAAACAGAAGCUACUGUAAUGCUUUCAAAUAUAUGCAAAUGAUACAUGUGGUUAGUGGUUUGGCAAAUCUUGAUUACAAUAUAAACUACCCAAGUAAAAGUGCCUUCGUCCUAAAUUUGUCUCUCGAUUACAAUUCCAAUUGAUUUUAUUUUAUUGUCAACAUUGUUAAUGAUAAAAAUAGAGUCGUUUUACAGUUAUUUUUACUUUCUGGAAGGAGGCAAUUAGAGUUCUAAUCAGGAAUACACAAAAAUCUCCCAUGAUUAACUGCAGUACUUUGUUCAAAUUGCUGCUAUAAAAUUCAGAACAAUUUGCCUGUAAUGAUUAUGGACUGGGUUUAUUUUGGGAGGUGGAAUAAAAGUGGAUAUAGCAUAAAUUAUCCUCUAAUUAUACACCAGUGUCGCCUCAAUUAUCCUCUUAUCAAAAUGGUUGUCUAACUGCCGCAUUUAGUUUCAAUUCUCUCCUUUUUUUCUAUAAAAAGAACUUCAUACCUUGUUAUUAUUAAUCCAUUUAUUAUUUGCAAGGGGAUUUAUAUCCGCACAUCCAGGUGGUAGAACCACUUCUCUUUCAAAGAUGGACUGGGGAAAGACAUUAAGUUCGGAGCAGCCCAAGGCUGCGGAUCUAGACUUUCUCCCUCCGGUCUCCAGACCCACGCUUGUCCAGGCAGCCAAGCAGAGACAGCGGAGCCCCGGUGCGCAGUUCAGGCCUGGCCAACAGAUCCAGAGAAUGAACCUCAUGGAAAGCUGCAAAAAGAACUUGGGGAGGGUCAGGCAGUCUGUUUUCUUGUACCCAGCCAAGGCACUCUGAAGCCAUUAUAGAGCCUGUACUGCUUGACAUCCAAGGCAGUGCUAAUCCUGCACUCACAUGUUUUCAUGAAGAUUUUAGUUGCCUGCUUAGACAAAGGAGAUCAAAGAAAGUUGCUGAAACAGAAGGAAAAUGCACUCCCUUGGAGAAGCAUGACCUUUUUGUGUUGCUUCCUACUGCUGUUGUUGAGCUCCUUGGACCCUGCCUCCUGGACACCAUCAUCAAGAAGACUUUAUGGAUGGGCCAUCCACUCCCUGAGAGAAGAGGAGCAUCAGCUGCAGUUUCUCUCUAGAUUGCGUUCUUCAUUUUGAGUAAUGACUGUCAGCAGGGUCAGAUUAAAGACAAAACAAUGGGACAACUGCUUGGAGGACUAAAUUAUAAAGGCACCAACAUGUCAGUAGUAUGAUUUAUCAGCCCUUCUCUCAGAGAGGAAUCUGUGUGGGGUUGGAAGGAAUGGUUUGUUAAAUUCCUUAAGGGUGGAAAGCAGGUCAUAAUCAGAAUAUAGAGGAAUAUGCUGUUUGGCUGCAGGGUUUGUUUUUCUUACUAGGAUACAUAAACAGGGACUAUAGCUAGAUUGUUUAUGACCCCAGAAGGUAGGAUGAGCACCCCCAUGAUCCUCUUGCUCAGUUCUUACCCAUACAGACCUCAACCUUUCCUCUAAUAAAGAUUGAACAAGUAGUGAUUUGAGGGAGACACCAAUUCAUUAGCCUACAUGUCUCUUCUCUACACUCUAGGGCUUCGAUAAUAAAGACACUGGCAGGCUGUCUGUCUUCCACUUCUAUAAUGUGAGCCCUUAAGCACUCUUCGUUCAGUUGGGGGUGAGGGUCAUUGCUCACAGAGCAGUUCAAGUCUUUACCUAGGGACCUGGUGGUCAAACUCUGUAUUGAGUUCAUUAGAUUACUGGAGACACAAGGUAGAGCUGGGCCCUUCAAAAAUACUUGGCUAAAGGAUAACAUUGCUCGUUAUUUGUAGAUAAAGCCAUCAUGGAACAUGCCUGGAAUCAUGAAAUAUGGAACCAGUAGUCAUGUUUAAUAAUGCAACUAACAGUCAAGUACCUACUGGACAUUGAAGAGACUUAGGGGCAAGAUAGAUAUGGUACCUGCCCUCAUGGAGUUUACACCAUAGCUUUCCCGUAGGUAUGAAGAACAGUGGCUACAGCUAACAAAUGGCUACAAAGAUAUUCUUGAGCCAGUGUUCCAAUUAUUAGGCUAAUUCCUGUUUCCUUAAUCAUGCCUACUGACCAUGUUCUAUAAGCCUGCAUUCUAUAAAUGGCCUAUGAGCAUGGGCUGUUUCCCCCCAGCAAAUUUUGCAAAGUCCUGUGGUACCAGGGAAAGGGCUUAAGAUUAGCAGGGCCUCUGGGGAAGGACAUAUGAAGUGACUUGGGUCAGGAAACAGGAAGGGAUAGGGUUCAAGAAACAGCUAUUGCUUUUGUUCUAUAUAGGAAACUGCAAUGUGAAAAAUGCUGGGCUGGGAAUUUUGAGACAUGGGUUUUAGUUUGUGUUCUAAUACUAACAAGCUGUGUGACUGUGAGUAAGACAUUGCACAUUCCACUUGGAUGCUCCUUGAGUGUCUCCAAACCCCUCCUACUCUAAAACGUUAAGAUCAGGCCCUAGGCUACAGCUGGCCAGUUUGUAAUUUUCCUGUUUCUAUGCUGUUAGGCCAAAUAGAUCUUCAACAGUUACUUGAUUAUUACUUUUUUUCUGAAGUGGGUGUUUUGUCAAUGUUUUAGGAUACAGUGAGUCUGCUUCUCCCCUUUGAAGUUAGGAAGGUUGCAGCAACAUACACUGUAGAACGUAUGGAAGCUUUAUUCCCGUUUUUCCCACCCCCCGUCUUUCUCCCACUCCUUCUCUUCCUCAUAUUUCUAUUGAACAUAUGCCAUUGCCAUGUACCAGUUAUGUGCUAGGUUUAGAGACACAAGAUAAACCUGAUACUUUCCCAGACUCCAGGAGACAAAAACCCUCCUUUUUUCAUCUGCUGGCUUUCUCUUUGGAAAGAAUCAGUGAUGUCCCAGGGGAGUGUGCCCAUGUUCCAGGGUAACCAACUACAGAGAGAUGCCCCAUUCUACUCAAGCAACUUUAGAGUACCUUGAGAUCCACAUCAGAUAAUUAUUCAGGGCUGGGCAUGGUGGUGCACACUUGUAAUUGCAGCACUUCCGGAGGCCAAAGCAGCAGAUUUCUUGAGCCCAGAAGCUCAAGACCCACUUGGGCAACAUGGCAAAACCCCAGCUCUGCAAAAAAAAAUACAAAAAUUAGCUGUAGUUGGUGGCCUGUGACUGUAGUACAAGCUACUCAGGAGACUGAGGUGGGGGGAUUGCUUGAGCCUGGGAGGUUGAGGCUGCAGUGAGCCGAGAUCAUGCCAUUGUGCCAUUGCACUCCAGCCUGGAUGACGUAGGGAGACUCUAUCCCAGAAAAAAAAAAAAGAUAAUCAUUCUAUCCUAGAGUCAUUGUGGAAAGAUCUAUCUUCAGAUAUAAGGAAGAAAUAGUCUUUUAUUUCUUAGGAUAAAUCUGUAGAAGGACAGUCCUUCAGACAGUGAAGGCCCUGACUACUUUAUACUCUGUAACCCAUCCCUUCCCUGGUAGGGAGGACUACUUCUUAAACUUACAAAGUACCUCUAGGCAAAUAGACAUUUUCAUAUAUACUGUGCUUCAUAUAUCCCUAUGUCUGAUGACCUCUUUAAAAAGGAAAGGAAAAAGCCUAAUCACACAAAAAGAUGUUGCUAUUCUUACCCUGUUGUGAAUCCUAUAUAAGCAAAUUCAUAUCUUUGUUUUUUCCAACAUUAGCAGAUCUAUUUGAUGUAUAUCUCUGAGUGCAGAAAAUAUUUUACAGAAAGAUAAAUCUAUGGAAUUUCAAAUUCAGAAUUGUUGAUACCUGCUAUUUGGUUUGAGAAUUUUGUCCUGGGAAAUAGUAUUAGGGAUUUCAAUUUCUGACUUAAAUGGUAGAAUUAGUUACUCUUAACUCUUGAUUUUACUUCUGAGUUGAGGUCAAGGAACAGGCAGAUACCUUCAGUUAAUGUCUGUAUCUCUCCAUGACCAAGAGCUUUAAUUUUCUUGUCUUCAUUUUUGCAGAUGAACAUCAUUACUAAAUGGAUUGAAUAGUAUUUUAUCUUCUCUCCUUGUCCUUACUUUCCCUCUGGUAAAUAUGUUAUAAACAGUGUAAGGCUCAUAAAUUAGAAUCGCUGGUAGGACUUGGAAGAGAAACAAAGGGCCAUUGAUAACUCACACAAAUGGAAAAUCAACCCUGAAAUAAUUGACAAUAUAUUCAAAUAUUUUGGUGCAGUCUCACUCCCAUUAAGAAGAAGAGACUCAGUAAAUCUAUAUGACCCUAAACAUUCUAAUGAAAAGGGGAACAUUCUGUCAAUCAGCCCAUAUUUCUAAAUAUCUUGAUAUUGGCCAUUGUAAAGACAAACGUACAGAUGAUGGACUUGUCUUUCUACUUCUCAUUUGCAUGGUCUGGAGCCUUGUACCUCCAGCCAUUGACUCUAAGGCAAUUUAUAUUUGUUUCCUCUUCCCUCUUGAGAGAAAACAAAAAUCUCACUUUUCCAAGCAAUUAAAACUCUUCUGCUUCAGCUAGGAUGAAAGAAUUUGGAGUUCUGUCUCCUUGUAUAUAAUUGCAUGUUUCAUCUUCCUUGUUUUAAUGAUUGACAGAAAACUGAUAAACUGAGACAUCUUUGAAUCAAGGUUGAAUAUACUCUCUUGGUGGCCCCAUUGCUAAUUUGUUUGACUAUUUUGCAGGAUUUCUUUCUCUGUAAUGGAAAGGUUUAUUAAAUAUGAGGGGUGCAAAGCUUUCUGAAUACUAAUGAACUUAUUUGCCAAAAUUUAAAUGUUCUUCUUGUCAGUGAAUGUCUGUCUCUCUUAACAGGAUCCAAAUUGAAUAAUGAAGAAAAUUAGACUCUAUUGUACCCUCAGGAGAAAUUGUGGUGAAUCGUAAUAGAAUACAGAGGGGGAAAGGGGUCACAUUUUAGAAAAAAGAGUAGAUAAAUUGGAUUAUAAAAAAAGGGAUUAACUCUGGAAAAACUCCAUUCUUUUCAAAAAAAUGUACUAAUAGUCAUUCAAUGAGCAGGAUUUCCCACUGCACAAGCAUCUAUACCUUUGGCCAGUGUAGAAUGAGAGUAAGGUCAUAAUCAUAGGGAGAUGCAUGCUAGGUUUCAGUGGUUAUAAUUUACUAACCUCAUUCCCAUAUAAGGCUUUUAUAUGCCUAUGAUGGAAUGGGAAAAUCAAUAAACUUGGAAAAGGAACACUAUUCUUCAGAGAAGUUCAAUGAGAGAUAGUUGAGUUGGGGAAAUUGCCUCAAUUCUUCUUUUAAGCAUGUAAUAAGGCUCUCUCUUUGUAUGUUUACUUCCAUUGCCUUGGUGUUAUCACUGAUAAAGUCAAUGAUCACAAUGCCUUUGCCUUGGCAGCACCUGAGGGACACUGGAGGAACCAGGUAGUUGUACUCGUGGCCAAAGAGGAAAGCUGCCAGAACUUUAGCAGCCACACAAGUGGCCAAACAUUGUCAGGAAUAAAAGUAGUGUGUGUGUGUAGUGAAAUGAAGUGAUGGAGGGAAAGUGAAGGAGAAUACAAAGGUGGGACUGUGCAGAGAUGGGAGUUCAUCCCUGUCCUACACUUGAAAUAGGAAGGCAUGGACUGGAAAAGGAUUAGGUGAGGAAGGAUCCCCAAGUAGAGAAAAUAAAGGGAAGGCUGCAUGCCUCCAGUGUUUGCUAAAAUUAAUUCUCCUGAGAUUUCAGGGGGAGAAAUGAUCAGGAGAAAGGGAAAACAGCCUCAAAGCCUGUAAGGGUUCAAA